CCUACGGGAGUCAGCAGUGAGGAAUAUUGGUCAAUGGGCGGGAGCCUGAACCAGCCAAGUCGCGUGAGGGAAGACGGUCCUAUGGAUUGUAAACCUCUUUAGGCGGGGAGCAAUGCCGGGCACGUGUACCCGGAGGGAGAGUACCCGCAGAAUAAGCAUCGGCUAACUCCGUGCCAGCAGCCGCGGUAAUACGGAGGAUGCGAGCGUUAUCCGGAUUUAUUGGGUUUAAAGGGUGCGUAGGCGGGUAGGUAAGUCAGUGGUGAAAGUCCGCGGCUCAAGGGGUGGAAUGCAAUUGAUACUGGCUGGCUGGAGUGCAGAUGCGGUGGGCGGAAUGUGUGGUGUAGCGGUGAAAUGCAUAGAUAUCACAAAGAACACCGAUUGCGAAGGCAGCUCACGAAACCGCAAUUGACGCUGAUGCACGAAAGCGUGGGUAUCAAACAGGAUUAGAUACCCCUGUAGUC
rnacentral:rRNA from 1 species